CUGUGAAAAACACCCACGCCGAAAGACCAAGGGUUCCUGCGCAACGUUAAUCGACGCAGGGUUAGUCGGUUCCUAAGGCGAGGCUGAAAAGCGUAGUCGAUGGGAAACAGGUUAAUAUUCCUGUACUUCUGGUUACUGCGAUGGAGGGACGGAGAAGGCUAGGCCAGCUUGGCGUUGGUUGUCCAAGUUUAAGGUGGUAGGCUGAAAUCUUAGGUAAAUCCGGGGUUUCAAGGCCGAGAGCUGAUGACGAGUCGUCUUUUAGAUGACGAAGUGGUUGAUGCCAUGCUUCCAAGAAAAGCUUCUAAGCUUCAGGUAACCAGGAACCGUACCCCAAACCGACACAGGUGGUCGGGUAGAGAAUACCAAGGCGCUUGAGAGAACUCGGGUGAAGGAACUAGGCAAAAUGGCACCGUAACUUCGGGAGAAGGUGCGCCGGCUAGGGUGAAGGAUUUACUCCGUAAGCUCUGGCUGGUCGAAGAUACCAGGCCGCUGCGACUGUUUAUUAAAAACACAGCACUCUGCAAACACGAAAGUGGACGUAUAGGGUGUGACGCCUCCCCGGUGCCGGAAGGUUAAUUGAUGGGGUUAGCGCAAGCGAAGCUCUUGAUCGAAGCCCCGGUAAACGGCGGCCGUAACUAUAACGGUCCUAAGGUAGCGAAAUUCCUUGUCGGGUAAGUUCCGACCUGCACGAAUGGCGUAACGAUGGCGGCGCUGUCUCCACCCGAGACUCAGUGAAAUUGAAAUCGCUGUGAAGAUGCAGUGUAUCCGCGGCUAGACGGAAAGACCCCGUGAACCUUUACUGUAGCUUUGCACUGGACUUUGAGCCUGCUUGUGUAGGAUAGGUGGGAGGCUUUGAAGCGUGGACGCCAGUUCGCGUGGAGCCAUCCUUGAAAUACCACCCUGGCAUGCUUGAGGUUCUAACUCUGGUCCGUAAUCCGGAUCGAGGACAGUGUAUGGUGGGCAGUUUGACUGGGGCGGUCUCCUCCUAAAGAGUAACGGAGGAGUACGAAGGUGCGCUCAGACCGGUCGGAAAUCGGUCGCAGAGUAUAAAGGCAAAAGCGCGCUUGACUGCGAGACAGACACGUCGAGCAGGUACGGAAGUAGGUCUUAGUGAUCCGGUGGUUCUGUAUGGAAGGGCCAUCGCUCAACGGAUAAAAGGUACUCCGGGGAUAACAGGCUGAUACCGCCCAAGAGUUCAUAUCGACGGCGGUGUUUGGCACCUCGAUGUCGGCUCAUCACAUCCUGGGGCUGAAGCCGGUCCCAAGGGUAUGGCUGUUCGCCAUUUAAAGUGGUACGCGAGCUGGGUUUAGAACGUCGUGAGACAGUUCGGUCCCUAUCUGCCGUGGACGUUUGAGAUUUGAGAGGGGCUGCUCCUAGUACGAGAGGACCGGAGUGGACGAACCUCUGGUGUUCCGGUUGUCACGCCAGUGGCAUUGCCGGGUAGCUAUGUUCGGAAAAGAUAACCGCUGAAAGCAUCUAAGCGGGAAACUUGCCUCAAGAUGAGAUCUCACUGGGAACUUGAUUCCCCUGAAGGGCCGUCGAAGACUACGACGUUGAUAGGCUGGGUGUGUAAGCGUUGUGAGGCGUUGAGCUAACCAGUACUAAUUGCCCGUGAGGCUUGACC
rnacentral:rRNA from 1 species